GAUGAAGAACGUAGCGAAAUGCGAUACGUAAUGUGAAUUGCAGAAUUCAGUGAAUCAUCGAGUCUUUGAACGCACAUUGCGCCCUCUGGUAUUCCGGAGGGCAUGCCUGUCCGAGCGUCAUUGCUGCCCUCAAGGACGGCUUGUGUGUUGGGCCCCGCCCCCCGAUCCCGGGGGGCGGGCCCGAAAGGCAGCGGCGGCACCGCGUCCGGUCCUCGAGCGUAUGGGGCUUUGUCACCCGCUCUGUAGGCCCGGCCGGCGCUUGCCGAUCAACCAAACUUUUUUCCAGGUUGACCUCGGAUCAGGUAGGGAUACCCGCUGAACUUAAGCAUAUCAAUAAGCGGAGGA
rnacentral:misc_RNA from 1 species